UUCUGGCCAAAACCAAAUCAAGUUGGGACAUAAAAUGACAAUCACAUCAUAAUAAAAAACCUGUUUUGUGAAGACAAGUAUGGAGGUUUUAUUAUUAUUAUUUCAUAUUAAAUGAGUAAUAAUAAUAACAAUAAAUGAAUUAACGGCAUUAAACUCCUAUCAUCUCGAGUAUGGAAAUGGGCCAUUCCAUUAAAAGGCUGCCAGGUCCAAGCCCACGCAUUUGAUGUCAUGAUACUUGCAAUUAGGGUUUUGGGGGGGGUGGGGGCAAGAUAGGUCUAUAAAUACUCACUCUAAAACCCGUCCAUCCAAAAAGCUUGAAGCCGUAUCGCUUCCUCUCUUUCAGUUUUCUCGUCAAAUCUUGGGUGGUUUUUGAUCAGAAAAGAAAAGAAAGAAAAAAGCCAAUUUGCAGAGCAAUGGCGUCGAACAAUUAGAUGGCGCGAAUUGCAUUGAAGGUUGGCAAUAUUAAAUAACGAUUCUCCGUGCCUAUCAAAUUCAAUCGAUCUCGUUUUGAUUAUGGCCUCGAACAAGUCGCUACACUUUUUAUCUUUACUUUAAUUUUUACUUACGUAAAAACAUGUCCUUGUUGAUUUAUAUUUUUUAUUUGCAUAAAGUUUUUUUUUUUU